rnacentral:rRNA from 1 species
GGACCAUCAUGUCGGUCGUGCCUCGGUACGUACUGGUAUUUUCGGUUUCUCCCUUCUGACGAACCUUGAUGUCAUUAAUUUGAUGUCGUGGAGAAUCAGGACUGCUACUUUGAAAAAAUUAGAGUGUUUAAAGCAGGCUCACGCUUGAAUACAUUAGCAUGGAAUAAUGAAAUAGGACGUUUGAUUCUAUUUUGUUGGUUUCUAGGAUCGACGUA